CGUAAGGCGCCGAAUGAGUCAUUAAAAAAUUAACAUCAUCCGAUCCCUAGUCGGCAUAGUUUAUGGUUAAGACUACGACGGUAUCUGAUCGUCUUCGAUCCCCUAACUUUCGUUCUUGAUUAAUGAAAACAUCCUUGGCAAAUGCUUUCGCAGUAGUUAGUCUUCAAUAAAUCCAAGAAUUUCACCUCUGACAAUUGAAUACUAAUGCCCCCAACUAUCCCUAUUAAUCAUUACAUCGAUCCUAGAAACCAACAAAAUAGAAUCGGAUGUCCUAUUUCAUUAUUCCAUGCUAAUGUAUUCAAGCGUGAGCCUGCUUUAAACACUCUAAUUUUUUCAAGGUAACAGUCCUAAUUCCCCGUAACACCAAAUUAAUGGCAUUACGGUUCUUUAGAAGGUGAGAAAUCAAUGAUAACAGUGCAUACCAACGGCAUGACCGAAAUAUUGAUCCCGAAAUUCAACUACGAGCUUUUUAACUGCAACAACUUUAAUAUACGCUAUUGGAGCUGGAAUUACCGCGGCUGCUGGCACCAGACUUGCCCUCCAAUUGUUCCUCGUUAAGAGAUUUAAAUUGUACUCAUUCCAAUUACAAGAUCCAAAAGAACCCUGUAUUGUUAUUUAUUGUCACUACCUCCCCGUGUCGGGAUUGGGUAAUUUGCGCGCCUGCUGCCUUCCUUGGAUGUGGUAGCCGUUUCUCAGGCUCCCUCUCCGGUGUCGUGCCCUAACACCCCGUUACCCGUUACCACCAUGGUAGGCC
rnacentral:rRNA from 1 species